AACCCUUGUUGUUUUAGUUGCAAACAGGUCAAGCUGUGCACUCUAGACAGACUGCCGUGGACAACACGGAGGAAGGGUGGGGAUGACGUACAAAUCAUCAUCGCCCCUUAUGAUCGUGGGCUACACACGUGCUACAAUGGCCGGUAACGAACGGGCAGCGGAAGGAGCGAUCCGGAGCGAAUACCUAAAAAGCCGGUCCCAGUUCGGAUUGCAGGCUGAAACUCGCCUACAUGAAGUUGGAGUUGCUAGUAAUCGCGAAUCAGAAUGUCGCGGUGAAUGCGUUCCCGGGUCUU
rnacentral:rRNA from 1 species